CCUUCGAUAGCUCAGCUGGAAGAGCGCGAGACUGUAAAUCUCGAGGUCACUGGAUCGACGCCGGUUCGAAGGA
rnacentral:tRNA from 1 species